rnacentral:ncRNA from 2 species
AAUUUGCAUUAUUGCUUAGGUGAAGGAGCCAGGGAACCGUGUGCAAAUCAUGGGCUGUCGCGCAACUGUAACUACCUCUUCAAGCCAAUGUCCUCGUGGUCCACUGCUCAGGCGGGAAGGACGACAAAGGCGGUAGAAGCCAGGAGACCUACCGGAACCUCAGCGUUUAC